CCUACGGGAGGCAGCAGUAGGGAAUCUUCCACAAUGGGCGAAAGCCUGAUGGAGCAACGCCGCGUGGGUGAAGAAGGUCUUCGGAUCGUAAAACCCUGUUGUUAGAGAAGAAAGUGCGUGAGAGUAACUGUUUACGUAUUGACGGUAUCUACCCAGAAAGCCACGGCUAACUACGUGCCAGCAGCCGCGGUAAUACGUAGGUGGCAAGCGUUAUCCGGAAUUAUUGGGCGUAAAGGGAACGCAGGCGGUCCUUUAAGUCUGAUGUGAAAGCCAUGGGCUUAACCGGAGUAGUGCAUUGGAAACUGGGAGACUUGAGUGCAGGAGAGGAGAGUGGAACUCCAUGUGUAGCGGUGAAAUGCGUAGAUAUAUGGAAGAACACCAGUGGCGAAGGCGGCUGUCUGGUCUGUAACUGACGCUGAGGUACGAAAGCGUGGGGAGCAAACAGGAUUAGAUACCCCUGUAGUC
rnacentral:rRNA from 1 species